GGAAAGCAAACUCUUUUCUUGGAACUGAUGAGUGUUCUCUGUCCUUUAAAGGGGUUAAUUCAGAUAGUGCAUGGCUGUUUGGAAACUCUUGUAUUUCUUUCGGUCAGAUCUUCUGCACACACUUGAAAACAAACAACUGUGUUUCCAGUUCUGCUGCCCCAGAGUGGUUCCUGCCACUCCUAAAAGAGUUAACUGAGCAAGUGUAGCAGUGGUGGAGCCACGAGAAGCUGAUGAUGCAAACGUGAGGGAAGAGUGGAAAAGAAGCAGAGAAGCCAAGGUGAGGAGAGAACAGGGAGAUAUAAAUAACUUGGGUGCUUAGCUAGGGAGUGACUUUCUGUCUUGGUUUGUCCGGCCCUGGUACUGCUGGCAUCGGCUCUCUAGGGGAAAGCUGCAGUUCUGCUGUUAAAACACAAGGAGCAGCCUGGAGAAUUUUGAGCUGCGUCACACAGCUCAGAGGGAGAGAAGGAGAGCCAGCUCUGUCGAUAGGUCUACUAGCAACAGCCUACUGCAGCAAGAGACACAGAGAGAGAGAUCAUGCAAGAGAAGUAAUAACAACAUUGGGAAGCAUGGUUCCUUUUCAAUCCAGAAUGUUUUUUUUUUUCUUUAAAGAGACAUUAUUUGGGAACUUGUUGAAGAUCAGUGCAUUUUGUCCACUGAUGGUACCGGAAAGAUGCGACGCAAUUAAUCCCGCAAAGGUGGGGGGGCAGAUAUAGGAAGGGUUAAUGGGAGGAAAAUUCUGGAAUAUUCUGUGCUGCGGCAGAGCGAACAGAGGGUUGAGGACUGCACAGGUGUAGAUGAACAGAUCUCAUGGUUCCUCUAUUUAAUACGCUUUAAUAAUCCCAGGAAGAAUGAACGAACAUAGUCUGCUAUUCAGAAGAAAGGAAAAAUAACCAGAAAACCGUAUCUGGAAAUGGGCAUGAUACGUGAAAGGAGAAGACAGAUAGAUGUGACAGAUAUCUACCUCCUCUGAUACUCUCUCAAACAUAACUUCAUUUUUAUUAUAUCUUCUCCGUUGUCAAGUGUUAUGCCUAAUUUGAAAUUCUUCCAUUGGAAGCGUACCACCUUCGUUUCUCCUUCUCCCCACUGAGACUCCUUGCUCUGCAAAGCUGUCUCCUCCAGAGGCAGUCUUGCAUCCUGCGGUGCUAAUUCUGCAGAGGAGGGCAACCAGAGGUCCAUCUGUGAUGGGAUACACUCAGGCUGAGAUUUUGCUUCUUCUGUCACGAGCAAAAAAAAAUCUUCAAUUUGUAUCCGGAAGAUACUUGCUGUUGCUGGGAGCAGAAUCAUUUUCUUGAGCAAUAUCUUGAAUCAGGUACCCAAACAGGCUAUGGAGUUUGAAGACAAUUUCUGAUAGCUGCCAUCACAUCACUUCUGUAAAAUAAGAUUUGCUAGCCUUUAAUGCCAUCAAAAACAGAUGAGAGAUGGCUAUCACAAUCUAGAGCUCCAUCUUUUCUAUUACUAUGGUCUGCAUCCUCAUACUUGAACUUGCCAGGAGAAGAACAUGCAUCUGAAUGUAUUCUCUUCUAAUUGGAGCCAGGGACUACAAUAGCUUUCUACUACAGUAAAAGUACUACAGAAGAAUUAAACUAAAGAAGAUGAUAAUGAUGAACAAAGUCAAAACUUUAAGAAAGUAGUUUGGUUAAAUGCUUGUGGCUUACUACAAGAGAUAACCAAAUGGAAACUUGCAAGAUUUCCUAUAAAAUGCAUGGAUGCAGAACAUGGAAACAACAACGCGUCUUCCUCUGGAAGCUGGUUUCACAUGGUGGCUUAGAUUUUUCCAUCUCUGUAUCUAGCACCAUUUGAAAUCAGUGUUCUAGGAGCAAGAAUUACAGCACUGGAUGUAGAAAAGAAAGCAGCAACAAAGCUAUCAUUAAGCAAGAGCUGAAAUGUUAAUUUAAAAUAAGAUUAAAAACUGAUACAACAAAGGAUGACUGUAUCCAGGUCUGUAUACAUCACAAAUAAAACUGGAACAUGGAAAGAACCAGAUGUCAAUUAUACACAACACUCUUCUGCUACCUUGAAUAGGUACGUAAAAUACUGCUUUUUUUGUGUUAAGCCCUAAGUGAAUUGAAGCUAUUCUAAUAAGGCCAAUCUUACAUAACAAUUUUACUAAAAGAAACACUCUGAAUUGGGUUUUUUGGUAUAAAAGAAAUUGUUUGAUUUUGUUAUUAGCUGAUUGAAUAGUAGAACAUUUCAAUAUACUUACUUAGAAAUUAAUCAAUUCACCUAACUUAAUGAGAUUUACUUAUAAGUAUUUGUGCAUAUGAGCAUACACUUAGUUUAUCUUGAAUGUGCCAUUUGCUUCCAUCAACCUCCUCUCCCCCGCCCCCCAAAAGCAGGUAAUGGACACAGCAUUUAGAAAGUGUAUCUCAGUACACAUAUCAAAUUAACAAAUUAAUGAAGUAUUGUUAUUAAUACAGGAACUUCCGUUUUACAAAUUGAAAUGGUUAGUGCUUACCUUUAAUUGGUAUUAAGUCACAAAUUGCAAAUAAAAAUAUUCAGUAAUCAAUGACAUUUAAUCAUCUGUUCAGACUAGUUUUUCAAGAUAAAUACUAAAGAGCAUUUGCUUAAUGAAGAUACCUAUCAGAUUGUUAGCAUGUUCUGCAUAACCUAUAGCACUUUUAACAACCACUGUUGACUCGGGAAAACAUCUCUUACACAGGCUGACCGAUUUCUCUUGGUGUUCAGAGUCUUAGUUUUUGUCUAGCACCAUUUGAAAUCGGUUAUGAUGUAGGGGGAAAAGCAACUACGCUGGAAGUGCUGGACAUACUUUAAGAUGAUUUUGGCUAAAAAAGUAUUAAAGUGAGAGACCAUGUAUUGUGAUAGAAAUAAUGCCUUUUCUGUUGCUUGUAUGUACAGAAACCUAUUCUCCAUGGUACAUUUCACAUUGACAAAUACUUCUAUAAAAUUAUAAGUUAGGUUUCUUUAAUGUUAUGCAAUCUUGUUGUACAUUGAUGGUAAUAAUUUGUUUUUGUUGUGUAAAAUUUAACAUUUUUAGAAGUAAGAUGCAUUGAAUUGCUAAUGUAUGAACAUUAAUGAUAUACAAUAGCAAAUAUGCUGCGAGGACAAACUUCUAGGCAAAGCGCAUAGAAGUGCCCCAAACAGCUCCAUAGAGGCAUCAAAGUGAGCUUUCACAUUCCAGCUUUCACAUUUCUUCAGGAAGUUUUUAAGCUCAGUUAAGAAUAAGGUAAAAGAAAAUUGGAAAUAUUUAUAUCUGCAGGCUACUACUGCCACCAUCUGGGGAAGGCGAAAGGAAGACUGAACAAGCAGUUGAAAGUUCCUAAACUUUUUUGAUUUUUUUUUAAAAAAAAUUAACAAAGAACUCUGUAAAUAGUAGAAUUAUCAGGUAGUAGAAGUUACUAAAUAUGAUUUUUGGGAAUAAGAGAGAAGAGAGACUGGCUGAGGAGCAUCUUUCCUAGGGCUGAAUUGUCUUUUGAAAAAUUCCCUUCAUCAUUUUUGAAAAAUUAUUCCUAUAACUGCACAUUUCAGCAAACAACUCAGAUCUCUCAAGCAUUGUCAUGAUUUUACUUUCUAAUCACUAUAUAUCUUGGAAUGAUUGACCACUUUAGGCUACCAGAUUUGGCUAUAUAAGGUCCUGGAGGCAGUUUUUUGAGAUUGAGAGAAAAAAAGGGGGAGAGGAGGAAGGUUGAAUGGAUAAUAAAGAGAGAGAGAGAGAGAAGAUGCCCAUAUAUUUCCACUAUACAUCUUCAUCUAAUAAUACACAUUCUUAUUUAAAUUUUAAUAUUUAUAUUUAUCACUAUUGUAAUUAUUGUAUACAUUAUAUUGAUACAUUUGUUAAAAUUGCCUUAAAUUGUAAUGGAAAACUGAUCUAUGUAUAUUUAAAAUAUCUGGCUGUUUCUAUUGCAGAACUUUGCUGUUCUAAAAAAAACCUUCAAUAGUGUAGAGGGAAGAAUUGUACCAAAUGUUAAAAAAUAAUGUAUAAUUGAUAUGAAAGUGUAAUAAUAUAACACCAACAGUAGAUGACAUUGAUCUCUUAUUUUUGUACAGUAACUAAUUUCUACAUUUUUGCCACCAGUGAAUACAUAUCGAUUCGUGAUUGGAAUUUCUCUCUAGAAAAAUGAAUUUGAACUGAGUUCAAGAUGUUUUCUCAAGCACUUGUUGCAAUUUCAAAAGCUCUUGAGUUCAUUCUUAACUGAUGCUACUCUAUAAAUGGAGCAUCUUCUAUUACCAACAAACAGCAUAACAAAAAAAAAACCUCGACAAAAAACAAAAGAAAAAAAUAAGUGAUUCCACAAUAGAUUAGGAAUAUUUGAAUACUUGCCAGAAAAAAACAGUUUUUAAUAACCUCUUAAAGUCCACAAGGCAAUGGGGUAGCUCAAUGUCCUUUGAGAUUUCAUUGCUCAGUACUGUCACUUUGAGCAGUACCUUCUAGUUUCAGCUUAAGCUAAAAAACGUAAGUAAUAACAAUGUCUGUCUAGAAGCAGAGGAUCCAGAGAUGAUCAUCUUGGAAAUGGAUGCACCACAACCUCCUUCAAUGCUGCUAACAACUUUCCCUCAUGAAGGCACUAAAAAUCUGAGGAAUCCAGGUAGUCACUUCUCCAUACACUCCUUGCAAUAGCCAGGAUUGGCAUGAGACUAAACCACAUGCAGCAAAAGCAGUCUAGAGACUACCUUUUUCACUUCCUUCAUGUUUACAAACCUGAAAGAAUCCCAAAUAAUAUGACAAACCGUACCCUUAGCACGUCGAGAGGCAUCAAAAUAUUGACAAAUCCAGGUGAAUUUGUCAGUUAAGUGCUAUGCAAAAGACUGGGACCUAUGAAAUAGUGUGUAACUGGGAGGAAAGGGAAAUGGUCCAAGGAAGAUUUCUGAUCCCAAGGAAGUUCAAUGGGCAAGUUGAUAGGAAGUCAGAAGUCACCACUCCUGCUGAUUUUUUUGCCCAUCCAUGCUAAUUCUGUCUCCCUUUUUAGGUAAGGAAAUAUCUCUGGAACGUUGACCUAAUGGGUCAUGGGUUGUCCAGUGUUAAACUAAAAGGAGUAUGAGCAUUGAUGGAGUGCUGCUGAUGGGAAUGGCAAAACCUCAUAAAAUGUUUCUCUCAGUGUACUUGUUACAUAUUGAUAUUUGAUAUCUCAAAUUGUGACUGCCACUCCUUAUGAGCAUUCUCAACCUAUAUUCUUUAUUUCAUUAGCAAAUAACUGGAAUCUAUCAUGACAGUUAAACUUCAUUUAUUCCCCCCACCAAAAUUUAAAUUUGUAAGCAUUAUAUGGGAAAAUCACACCUUGUUUGUUUUAUUUCUGCAUUUUAAGCUAAAUGUGGAUUCAUAUUUAGCUGAAGGAAAACCAACUACUAAAAAUAUUUAUGUAUAAAAAAGAAUUAGAUACAAAAUUGCAUUGAAAAUUAUUAUUGCUGAGGUAUGUAUAAAGAGAAGGUUAUCAAAUUCCCAAUGAAGUAUUAGCUGGUUUCCAUAUGAAUUAAGAUACAAAUUCCUAGGAGCUUCUGUUGAAAAGCUCAUAGAAUUGGGCUGGAAACAUUUUAACUACUUAUUCAGUAUAAACAAUGAAUGUAAAUGUAUAAAGUACUCACCAUUAUUUGGGUAAAAACAAUCCACAACACUCCACCAAAGCAACAGGAUACAAGCCAAAGAACCUAUUAAAGCCAAAUAAAUACCUUUUUCUUUAUUUAAUUAUAGUUUUCUCUAAAAGCAAAGAUUAAACUACAGACAGAAAACUCCAAAAUAAAUGGAGUAAUAUACUAGGAGGAAAAAACAAUAACAAUAUUUAACAUUAAAAUGCUAUGAAAAUGUAGCUAUCAUAAGGUGUGUUUUGUAAUGCACUCUACAGAAUUCAUUCUGUAUAAUCCAGAAUAAAACUAUUUAAGGUCACAAUGAAAAGUUCAUAAUUGCUCCGGGCAUAUUUUAAAUAUUCCUGCCCCAAACAGUCAAUUAAUAUCUUUCUAGAGUGCUUAGAACCA